rnacentral:rRNA from 1 species
CCUACGGGUGACAGCAGUGAGGAAUAUUGGUCAAUGGUCGGGAGACUGAACCAGCCAAGCCGCGUGAGGGAUGAAGGUACAGAGUAUCGUAAACCUCUUUUGUCAGGGAACAAAGGCGGGGACGUGUCCCCGGAUGAGUGUACCUGAAGAAAAAGCAUCGGCUAACUCCGUGCCAGCAGCCGCGGUAAUACGGAGGGUGCGAGCGUUAUCCGGAUUUAUUGGGUGUAAAGGGUGCGCAGGGGGUCUGUUAAGUCAGCGGUCAAAGCCCCGGGCUUAAACCCCGGCCCGCCGUGGAACCGGGCAGGCUCGAGUUGGAGAGAAGUAGGCAGAAUGCGCGGUGUAGCGGUGAAAUGCAUAGAGAUCGCGCAGAACUCCGAUGGCGAAGGCAGCAUGCCGGCUCCACACUGACGCUGAGGCACGAAAGCGUGGGUAUCGAACAGGAUUAGAUACCCGAGUAGUC